UACAGAGGUCUCAAGCGUUGUUCGGAUUCAUUGGGCGUAAAGGGUGCGUAGGCGGCGCGGUAAGUCGGGUGUGAAAUCUCCGAGCUCAACUCGGAAACGGCAUUGAAUACUAUCCCGCUUGAGGGUCGGAGGGGAGACUGGAAUUCUCGGUGUAGCAGUGAAAUGCGUAGAUAUCGAGAGGAACACCAGUGGCGAAGGCGAGUCUCUGGACGACUCCUGACACUGAGGCACGAAAGCUGGGGGAGCAAACAGG
rnacentral:rRNA from 1 species